rnacentral:rRNA from 1 species
UAAGGCCCCUUCGGGGGUACACGAGUGGCGCACGGGUGAGUAACGCGUGGGUAAUCUGCCCUCUGGUCUGGGACAACUCCGGGAAACUGGAGCUAAUACCGGAUGAGCCCACAGGGUCCACGGGCCUGGUGGGAAAAGGUGGCCUCUCCUUGGAAGCUACCGCGAGAGGAUGAGCCCGCGUCCCAUUAGCUUGUUGGUAGGGUAACGGCCUACCAAGGCGACGAUGGGUAGCUGGUCUGAGAGGAUGAUCAGCCACACUGGAACUGAGACACGGUCCAGACUCCUACGGGAGGCAGCAGUCGGGAAUUUUGGACAAUGGGGGCAACCCUGAUCCAGCAAUGCCGCGUGGGUGAAGAAGGCUCGCGGGUUGUAAAGCCCUUUCAGUAGCGAGGAAAAGCUGAUGGUUAAUACCCAUCAGUCUUGACGUUAACUACAGAAGAAGCACCGGCUAACUCUGUGCCAGCAGCCGCGGUAAUACAGAGGGUGCGAGCGUUAAUCGGAAUUACUGGGCGUAAAGCGCGCGUAGGUGGUUUGAUCAGUCGGAUGUGAAAGCCCCGGGCUUAACCUGGGAAUUGCAUUCGAUACUGUCAGGCUAGAGUAUGGUAGAGGGAAGUGGAAUUCCAGGUGUAGCGGUGAAAUGCGUAGAUAUCUGGAGGAACAUCAGUGGCGAAGGCGACUUCCUGGACCAAUACUGACACUGAGGUGCGAAAGCGUGGGGAGCGAACAGGAUUAGAUACCCUGGUAGUCCACGCCGUAAACGAUGUCAACUAUGUGUUGGGGGACUUUGAGCCCUUAGUAUCG